UCCGGUUUUUGGGGGAUCGGAUAUCCGCCCCUAAACGAUAUUUUCACCUAUGAGUGUAAGCACUCAUCCUCUUUCUUACAGUUAAUUUUUUUUGAUAGAAUGCAGGGAUCACACUGUACAAGGAUGUACUACUGGAGGUAUAUCUCCAGAGGUAGUAAUCUGCUGACAGUAGCAUAUAUACUGGUCAGAAUCUGUAAUUGUUCCAGAGUUUUGAAUAUUAAUUUUACGUUCCAAGGAAAUGGACACUGAUUCAAGAAUUGCAAGAUAGUUGGAGGUGAUGAGGAGCUCAUUCCAUUCGCUAUUAAUUAGGAGGAUAGAUAUGUGUCAACUGGAAGGUAUAUGUCCACUACUAUUAUACGAAAUUGCAGUUCUGGACAGGUGGGCUGCCAAUAUUGCUCUCUGUAUGAUUUCCUCUCAUAUACAGAUUUUUACACUUUGAAAAAUGGCCUAUUACAGGAUCAGGUAGCCAAGAUUGAAGACUAAACCUCAUGGAACAUGCAUGAGAGGAGACCAACUUUGCAAUGGGAGCAAGAACAAUGGGACCAGCUGUUGACUUUGCUCAGACAACAGAGAUUAAGCAAUGAGCCUGACAACUGGAUAUGGUGCCCUACAAGUAAGGAGUCUUUCACAGUCAAAAGUUUUUAUGAUAAACUUGAAGAAGAAAGGAGAGCCCUCAAUGCUGCUACACUGCCUGGUUUCCCUUACAACUUGGUAGGGUCUACUGAUAUCCCUUGUAAGAUCAAUUUUUUUUUUCUGGUGCUCUGUACAAGGUAGAAUCCAAACCACGGAUCACCUUGUCAGAAGAGGAAUGGACCUGCCUGACGUAUGCAUUGUCUCUAAGCAGUACCCUGAAACUGCUACACACUUCACUGGUUGUAAGGGUACUGGAGAAAUGGCCAAGGCAUAGGAGAAAAGGGAUCGGAGCAAACUUACUAAGUCUCUUACCUUAUGCAAUUAUGUGGAAUGUAUGGCUCACAAGGAAUGAUUACAUCUUCAAAGUGAAGCCGCCUAAUCUCGACAAACUCUGAAGCAGAAUUAAGCUUCUCUGUAGUUCUGGAUUGGAGGUAGAGCUCUGAACAAAUAUUAUACCUAUGCAUGCAGAUCUGACCAACAACUGGGAGUUAAUGCUGCUGCUGUAAUUGUCGAUUGUAAUUUGCUUUGGUUAUGUACACACUCAAGAGUUGUGAACUAUAAUACUAUAUGCAGUGAAUCUCUCUCUCACUGUCAUCUUGUUACCAUCAAUUAAAAGCGCCAAUUUAUCUAAAAAAGAAACCCUCAGACAUAGCAAUUUCAAUUCACUACAGUAAUUAUAAGUUGACAUUACUCAC
rnacentral:lncRNA from 1 species